rnacentral:lncRNA from 1 species
GCUGACUACAAAUCAAGAUCAUGGUCCAAUAGGUAUGGCGUCCCUCCACAAGUAGGAGGUUCGAGGUUCGAUCCUCGGCUCUGGUCAUUCUUCAGUUAUAUUUAAAUAAUAUAAUAUAAUUAUAAAUAUAAUAAUAAAAUCAUAAAACUGGAGGAACAUAAAACUGUCCAUUAUUAAAAUUAAUAGCGCACAAAUAUAUUGCUACAACUUAUAUUCUUUAUUGCUAACUAGCCACGCUUAUUGUCACAUAUUACCCUAGUUGUGCAUGUAUUGUAAAUGAUGUUAGCAACGAUAGCAAAGACAACAUAUAUUUAAUGUGUUGGUGUAGACCCUAGCAAUACUUAUUUGAACUUUUAGCCAUAUAUAUAUAUAUAUGUAUUGCUAAAGAGGGUUUCUCUAGUAGUGAUGGUGGCUCAACCUAGACCUUUUGGUAAACUGGUAGGUUAAGAUAGCUAGUACUGUACCUAUCACAAUGUAAGAUUUUUAACAUUGUUUAUAUUCAUAUGAAUUCCGAUGAAUCAUUCACAUAUUUACAAACAAUAUAUAUUGAUCUAUUGAUAAAUCUGUAUAUAGCUAAACUGCUUUUCAACAUAAAACGAAGGGAGUAUAAAAGUAAUUCGAAUGCUCAUGCUCGAUUUAAUGUAUUGAAUGCUUAAUUCAGACUAGUUUUAUUUAGAGCCCCAAUUUGCAUAGUCCUGAGCCUACAUUCCUGCCAACAGCCCUAAGAGUGAUUACCAUACUACAACAUUAGUGCUUCUGCAAUAAAGACUAUUUGAACAUUAGUUUCAUCAAAAUGCGGUUAUAUAAUCUAGUUUAUCCAAUUUUCAUGGGUGUCUUUUAAGUUUAAAAUAAUGAAAAUAUGAUUAACCAUACAUCAUUGACUCUUAUUUUGCUCAGUUCAGGUUGUCUGGACCCAAAAAGAACUCACUAACCGUACAGAGACCAGCAAGGAUGAGUAGGACGCGAAGCGGCCGAACGGCUUGAAGCGGACAAGAAGCCGGCACACAGCCACUUGAAUCUUGAAUUCAGCACUGAUCCGUCCAACGACGAGACGAAAAAAAGAAAGAAAGAAAAACUGCAUCCGUGGAUCGAUCGAUC